CGCCUGGGGAGUACGGCCGCAAGGUUAAAACUCAAAUGAAUUGACGGGGGCCCGCACAAGCGGUGGAGCAUGUGGUUUAAUUCGAUGCAACGCGAAGAACCUUACCUGGUCUUGACAUCCACAGAACCUUGUAGAGAUACGAGGGUGCCUUCGGGAACUGUGAGACAGGUGCUGCAUGGCUGUCGUCAGCUCGUGUUGUGAAAUGUUGGGUUAAGUCCCGCAACGAGCGCAACCCUUAUCCUUUGUUGCCAGCGGUCCGGCCGGGAACUC
rnacentral:rRNA from 1 species